rnacentral:rRNA from 1 species
UGGGGAAUAUUGCACAAUGGGGGAAACCCUGAUGCAGCGACGCCGCGUGAGCGAAGAAGGUUUUCGAAUCGUAAAGCUCUGUCCUAUGAGAAGAUAAUGACGGUAUCAUAGGAGGAAGCCCCGGCUAAAUACGUGCCAGCAGCCGCGGUAAUACGUAUGGGGCGAGCGUUGUCCGGAAUUAUUGGGCGUAAAGGGUACGUAGGCGGUCUAUUAAGUCAGGUGUGAAAGCGUGAGGCUUAACCUCAUUAAGCACUUGAAACUGAUAGACUUGAGUGAAGGAGAGGAAAGUUGAAUUCCUAGUGUAGCGGUGGAAUGCGUAGAUAUUAGGAGGAAUACCGGUGGCGAAGGCGACUUUCUGGACUUUUACUGACGCUCAGGUACGAAAGCGUGGGGAGCAAACAGG